CUCAGAUAAUCGAGUUCCCCCUGGAGUAGAAGCACCUGUGGCUAAACCAACACUGCGCCAGUGUUUUCACUCUCUGGAUUUGGAUUUGCCACUCCUGCAAUCCAAGAUGCUCGAGAUAGACCCGGUCUGUGCUACUCCAGCAUGAAGAGGACGUUGUGACGAUGCACUACUGCCCCCGCGUGGCGAUGCCAAGGAACUGCUGCAGCGGGACGUGAAAAUGAAGGUGGGACAAGAAAAAAAAACCAAACCUCCAAUGGUGCUUUCCUGAAAUUCAUGGAACUGUCCCUUGACGAAGCGGAGCACCAGACU